CAAGGCCACUUGCGUCAGCAGCGUGCGUCAGCAAGGUAGCAGAAGCAGGAAGAGAGCCAGCAAGAAGACACCUACCCUGGCAGGAAGACACGUACCCGUGAAGAUAGAGAAAGAGGCCAUCCAGUUCAGUCUCAUUGAAAAGAAAGAUGUCUACAUCAUUGAGAAGAAAAAGAAGCCCAAUGUGGAUUCAGCACAAUUAACACGGAGUACUUGUCAAGGCACAGACACUGCAGGAAUAAAUUGUAGGCUGCAUUUCUGGUCUUAGGACUCAGUCAAAUGGGACAUACAAGCCAUGCAAGCCAACAGCAUAAUUGAAGACAAGGUGUUGGAAAAACAAUAUGAACAAGUUUUUAUAGGAUCAAAGGAAAGAAAGAAUUCGACUGGAUCUGAGGAGUACAAGAAUAUUCCAGAAUUGGGGAAUAAAUAGGAGAGAUCAACAGAAAGGCCAUUUGAAUCAGAACCAGCAGGCAGGAAGUAUGAAACCAUCUAGCAGCCUGUUCUGUAAGGACAAAAGAUCAUUAAAUAGGCAAAUUGCAGAAAGCCAGGGAUAGUAUGGUUUAGCUUUCUUUAAUUCCUCUUUGUUGAGUUUCCCAUUGUCUUAGAAAUUAUUCAGGAGGUAAGACCUACUGGUGUAUGGCACAGCAGGAAUAUCAGGCCUAUUAAUCACAAUCAAGUCUCUAAUGCUUGUAUUAAUAAAUCAUGUUUAAUGUAGAAUAAUUUCUGAAAAUAAUGCCACAGAUCAAUAAAUAAAUCUCUAAGAAAAGCUGAAGUUCCCAGGGUCAUAUCUGAGAACUUGAGGCCAGGGGAGUUUAGACACUCUAAGUAGAAGACACCCAGGCAAGACUUUUGUGGAUAAGGACAAUUAUACAAGUUCAUAGCCUUCUGAAAUAAGCUUAGUUCUAAUAAUCUCAGGAAAAACACAAAAUAAUUUAGCUAUACUGAUGGUUUUUGGAGAACAAUUUUCCCCAGAUUUAAAAAAGAUGAUGGAUGUGGCUAAAUCACUGUCCCUAACCUCUUUAUAGAACCCAGAGGUUCCAGCCUUAAGAUUUAAUUUCCAGGGUUAGGAUGCAAGAAGUGACUUACUUUUGAGUUCUACCAGGAAGCAAAAUGGCACACAUCAAAAAUAACUCGUUUGGCGAUUUCAUGAGUUUCCAAGCACUUUAUAAAAUGUACAGUCAUCAGCUUUUUUCUUAUUGCAAUAAGAAACUAUUUAAAUGCUAGAAAAUUGUAUAUUUCCAGCUUCAAAAUGAAAUAUGUCAUCCAACAGAAUUAAAGCAGUAACUACAGAAAGAGUAAUCAAUAAAUAGGCUCUUCCUCUUACUACCCUAGAGAAUGGGGAGAUGUUAUUUGAUCAAUUGUUUUUCUAAAAUUUAUGACUGUUAGAAGCCAAGUCUAAAUUUAUAUAGAAAAAGUUCAAGGAAAUGAUGUAACUAUUCUCUAAGAAGGUGAUUUAAGCCUCUGGAUUACAGGAGGUUUAAGAUGUUGCCCUUGUGGUAAUGCAGUGUUUUAACUUAAGGGCCAUCGUGAACAUCAAUUUUCCCUCAUGAAACAAAUCACCAGCCAACCAAAACCUCUAUUACUUCUAUAUUUCCUGAAGGACUCUUCCAUUCCCAAAUUGAGUGUAUGAAUUGCAGCCUCAUAAAGGUACCACCGAAAUGUGGCAGUCUCAUUUGGAGACACACAUUACAAAAGAGUUUCAGCCAAAAUAGUUUGAAUCAGAAAGUGGUCUUUGAAUAGUGAUUCAGCCUAAUACAUCACUAAGAAGGAGAAACAAA
ensembl:lncRNA LINC02616 long intergenic non-protein coding RNA 2616